GACGAACGCUGGCGGCGUGCCUAAUACAUGCAAGUCGAACGCUGAAGAGAGGAGCUUGCUCUUCUUGGAUGAGUUGCGAACGGGUGAGUAACGCGUAGGUAACCUGCCUGGUAGCGGGGGAUAACUAUUGGAAACGAUAGCUGAUACCGCAUAAUAUUGAUUAUUGCAUGAUUAUUAAUUGAAAGAUGCAACUGCAUUACUACCAGAUGGACCUGCGUUGUAUUAGCUAGUUGGUGAGGUAAAGGCUCACCAAGGCGACGAAACAUAGCCCACCGGAGAGGGGUGACGGCCACACUGGGAAGGGGACCCGGCCCAGGCUCCUACGGGGGGGAGCAGGAGGGAAUCUUCGGCAAAGGGGGGAACGCUGGCCGGGCAACGCCGGGGGGGUGGAUAAGGGUGUCGGAUCGGAAAGCUCUGUUGUAAGGGAAGGACGGGUGGGGGAGUUGAAAGUUCACACUGUGACGGUAUCUUACCAGAAAGCGACGGCUAACUACGUG
rnacentral:rRNA from 1 species